GUGCCUUCAGCCCAAAUAAACAUCCCACCAGCAUUUCCUCGGAUUGGGCUGCUGUUGCAGGGAGAGAGCCAGGUGGGAGCCCAUGUGGUUUUGAUAGACACCCAUUCAAGCGGAGCUUUAAAUGUUAGAGUGGCACUGUUGGUGCAGUUAAAUGUAAGGAUCUGUCAGUUUAUGAUGAAUUUUUAUUUUUAAGGGUUUCAAGUAAGCUGUAAACAUUCACUCCAGACUGAAAUUCCCCCCAUUUGACACCUGGAAGGGGCAGAGCGGAGGAGCAGUGGGUUGAGUGGCUGGGAGCAAAGCAGGACUGUAAUGGGCAUUUAAGAAACAAUCCUUUGGGAACUCUGUGUGAUCCACUACUGGAGGAAGGAAGGAAGUCGGCAUGGUAUGCAUGGAUCUUAGUUACUGACCAGGGGUUGAACCUGGGCCCUUGGCACGCAGAGCAUGGAGUCUUAACCACUGGACCACCAGGGAAAUCCCUACUGAAGAUUUUUAAACAGCCAUUCAGCUCGACUGUGAGGCAGCAUGUCAUUCUCAUCUUCAGAGGCAUGUAGGGGAUCACCUCCAAGAGACAGGGAGACAAAGCUGGGUCCCUUGGUCUCCUCCUGAGGCUGCCUGCUGGGGAGAAACCUUCUCUUACCACUUGCAUGUGCCCUGCUCGCCUCUCCCACAGCUCCAUUUGCCUGGCAAGGAUUUGGCCUCUUCAUCCUCUCGGAGACAGAAGGGUGUAAAAUAAGUGACACAGGAAAGAGUCCCUUAGUGAAUCUUCUGAAUAUGGGGGCCAAAAUUUCACACCAAAGUGUGUAUGUCUGUGGGGGAGAGACUGGGACUGGGACUUUACCUUGGAAAAUGAAAGAAAACAUUGCAUAAAUAUGUUUGAUUGAUUUUUUGAAAUGUUUUGGUAUUUUGGCCACAAGGCAUGUUCCUGAACCACAGAUUGAACCCUCAGUCCCUGCAUUUGAAGGCAAAAUCUUAGCCAAUGGAUCACCAGAGAAGUCCCUAAUUGAACUUUUAUUAAUUAUGACUAUGUGCUAAUUCUUAGCAUGAAUAAAGAAAUCAUGUGCUGCUUGUU